rnacentral:rRNA from 1 species
AAAAUGGAGAGUUUGAUCCUGGCUCAGGAUGAACGCUGGCGGUAUGCUUAACACAUGCAAGUCGAACGGAAUCCUUCGGGAUUUAGUGGCGGACGGGUGAGUAACGCGUAAGAAUCUACCUUCAGGUUGGGGACAACCACUGGAAACGGUGGCUAAUACCGAAUGUGCCGAGAGGUGAAAGGCUUGCUGCCUGAAGAAGAGCUUGCGUCUGAUUAGCUAGUAGGUGUGGUAAAGGCGCACCUAGGCGACGAUCA